CAUGAUUUACAUUUGAGUGAGUGGCGAACUGGUGAGUAACACGUGGGAAACCUGCCCAGAAGCGGGGGAUAACACCUGGAAACAGAUGCUAAUACCGCAUAACAACUUGGACCGCAUGGUCCGAGCUUGAAAGAUGGCUUCGGCUAUCACUUUUGGAUGGUCCCGCGGCGUAUUAGCUAGAUGGUGGGGUAACGGCUCACCAUGGCAAUGAUACGUAGCCGACCUGAGAGGGUAAUCGGCCACAUUGGGACUGAGACACGGCCCAAACUCCUACGGGAGGCAGCAGUAGGGAAUCUUCCACAAUGGACGAAAGUCUGAUGGAGCAACGCCGCGUGAGUGAAGAAGGGUUUCGGCUCGUAAAACUCUGUUGUUAAAGAAGAACAUAUCUGAGAGUAACUGUUCAGGUAUUGACGGUAUUUAACCAGAAAGCCACGGCUAACUACGUGCCAGCAGCCGCGGUAAUACGUAGGUGGCAAGCGUUGUCCGGAUUUAUUGGGCGUAAAGCGAGCGCAGGCGGUUUUUUAAGUCUGAUGUGAAAGCCUUCGGCUCAACCGAAGAAGUGCAUCGGAAACUGGGAAACUUGAGUGCAGAAGAGGACAGUGGAACUCCAUGUGUAGCGGUGAAAUGCGUAGAUAUAUGGAAGAACACCAGUGGCGAAGGCGGCUGUCUGGUCUGUAACUGACGCUGAGGCUCGAAAGUAUGGGUAGCAAACAGGAUUAGAUACCCUGGUAGUCCAUACCGUAAACGAUGAA
rnacentral:rRNA from 1 species